GAGCCUGUAGCUCAGUCGGUAGAGCGCACCCUUGAUAAGGGUGAGGUCCGUUGUUCGAACCAACGUAGGCUCA
rnacentral:tRNA from 1 species